UUCUUUGCACUUUUAUUUUUA
ensembl:piRNA 21ur-5078 ncRNA